CUGUGACCAGAGAGGACAGAUGUGCUGCCAGCUUCUUAGCCUGCUGGGUUGCAGGGGUCCAAAUGUAGCUGCAUUUAGGAGGAGGAGAAGGAGGACGUGCUUUGCUCUUCAAGAAUGUCCACACCUGUUUCCUCAUUCAGCCUCUCAGCAACUCUGUGGAGUUGUCAGGACUCACCCCAUUUCACAGAAGAAGGCACCAGGCUGGGAGAUGCAGGGCUGGUGGUACCUACUAAUCCAGGGG
rnacentral:lncRNA from 1 species